rnacentral:rRNA from 1 species
AGCAGCCGCGGUAAUUCCAGCUCCAAUAGCGUAUAUUAAAGUUGUUGCAGUUAAAAAGCUCGUAGUUGAAUUUCGGGGUUUGUCAGUUGGUCGGGCUUCACUGUCCGCACUGAUUUGAUGGAUCCCUACCUUCUGAAUAACCAGCAUGCUAUUAAGUUAGUGCGUUGGGGAAGCAGAUCUAUUACCUUGAAAAAAUUAGAGUGCUUAAAGCAGGCUAGUGCUUGAAUAGAUUAGCAUGGAAUAAUAAAAUAGGACGGCAUGGUUCUAUUUUGUUGGUUUCUAGGAUCACCGUAAUGAUUAAUAGGGAUAGUUGGGGGCAUUAGUAUUCAAUUGUCAGAGGUGAAAUUCUUGGAUUUAUUGAAGACUAAACUUCUGCGAAAGCAUUUGCCAAGGAUGUUUUCAUUAAUCAAGAACGAAAGUUAGGGGAUCGAAGACGAUCAGAUACCGUCGUAGUCUUAACCAUAAACUAUGCCGACUAGGAAUCGGACGAUGUUAAUUUUUUAAUGACUCGUUCGGCUAC